UACAGAGGGUGCGAGCGUUAAUCGGAAUUACUGGGCGUAAAGCGUGCGUAGACGGUUAUUUAAGUCGGAUGUGAAAGCCCCGGGCUCAACCUGGGAAUUGCAUUCGAGACUGAAUAGCUAGGGUGCGGUAGAGGGAAGCGGAAUUUCCGGUGUAGCGGUGAAAUGCGUAGAUAUGCGGAGGAACACCAAUGGCGAAGGCAAUCCCCUGGACCUGUACUGACGCUCAUGCACGAAAGCGUGGGGAGCAAACAGG
rnacentral:rRNA from 1 species